rnacentral:rRNA from 1 species
CGUAGGGUGCAAGCGUUAAUCGGAAUUACUGGGCGUAAAGCGUGCGCAGGCGGUUGUGUAAGACAGGUGUGAAAUCCCCGGGCUUAACCUGGGAAUGGCAUUUGUGACUGCACGGCUAGAGUGUGUCAGAGGGGGGUAGAAUUCCACGUGUAGCAGUGAAAUGCGUAGAGAUGUGGAGGAAUACCGAUGGCGAAGGCAGCCCCCUGGGAUAACACUGACGCUCAUGCACGAAAGCGUGGGGAGCAAACAGGAUUAGAUACCCUGGUAGUCCACGCCCUAAACGAUGUCUACUAGUUGUCGGGUCUUAAUUGACUUGGUAACGCAGCUAACGCGUGAAGUAGACCGCCUGGGGAGUACGGUCGCAAGAUUAAAACUCAAAGGAAUUGACGGGGACCCGCACAAGCGGUGGAUGAUGUGGAUUAAUUCGAUGCAACGCGAAAAACCUUACCUACCCUUGACAUGGCUGGAAUCCUUCAGAGAUGAGGGAGUGCUUGAAAGAGAACCAGUACACAGGUGCUGCAUGGCUGUCGUCAGCUCGUG